GGCUGCGCACGGUCUCGGAAGCGAUUUCGGACCGGUUUCUAGUCUGCAGCCAUCCGUCUGCGAACUGUUGCGGCCUUCACUGGUUGGCUUCAGGGAACAGACCCUUUACUUUGAAAAAAUUAGAGUGUUUAAGGCAGGCUCCGCGCCUGAAUACAUUAGCAUGGAAUAAUGGAAUAGGACGCUUGUCCGUUUGAUUGGUUAUCGGACUGGCGUA
rnacentral:rRNA from 1 species